rnacentral:rRNA from 1 species
AAACGAACUUGGAGAUAGCUGGUUCUCUCCGAAAUAGCUUUAGGGCUAGCCUCGCAAAGAGGAUGCUGGAGGUAGAGCUCUGUUUGGACUAGGGGCCCGUCAAGGGUUACUGAAUUCAGAUAAACUGCGAAUUCCAGACAUUUAUGUGCGGGAGUCAGACUGCGAGUGAUAAGAUCCGUAGUCGAAAGGGAAACAGCCCAGAUCACCAGUUAAGGUCCCAAAAUUCAUGCUAAGUGGAAAAGGAUGUGGAGUUGCGCAGACAACUAGGACGUUGGCUCAGAAGCAGCCAUCAUUCAAAGAGUGCGUAAUAGCUCACUAGUCGAGUGACGCCGCGCCGAAAAUUUACCGGGGCUAAGCAUGAUACCGAAACUGUGGAUGUGCAUUUAUGCACGUGGUAGGAGAGCGUUCUAGCGGCGGUGAAGCAUGACUGAGAAGACAUGUGGAGCUUCUAGAAGUGAGAAUGCCGGUAUGAGUAACGAAAGACAGGUGAGAAUCCUGUCCGCCGCAAGAC